CGACAUCCCUUGCCCGCUCGCUCGCCGCCCGGCCCGGCCUUCCCUCACUCAGCGCCGGGGCUGGCCUGGGACAAGGCACCGCCGGGCAUCCUUUCCCUCGCCCUGACAGGACGCGGCGAGCGGUGCAGAGGGCGGCCGAAAGGGCGACCGAGGGGAAGCCCUGCCCGGCAACGGCAGGAAAGUGACGGUUGCUGAGGGGAGGGAGGGGCAGGGUCCCGAGCGCGGCUUUGAAUUCUCGGGCGGCGCGAGCGGGGUGGGGGUGGGGGCUGUUCUUCCCUUGCCCUGACGGUUACAACCGCCCGCGCGUGCGCAGUCGGCGCAAAGGCCGACGGGGCGUGCGCAGAUCGGGUCGCCUCCAAGCUCUCCUCCCCUUUUCUUCGCUUCCCGCAACCUUUUUCUCUGGAAGUCGAUCCGGCUCGGCUCUGCCUUUGCUCCCCUCCCCCCGCCCCUUCCUCUUCAGGGCGGAAGUGAAAGUCGGAACGCCUCGAGCGACGCAGCGCAACAAGUCUUUCUCAAUCCGCUUGGGGAGGAGGUGUUUUCAAUUGUCGGGGAAAGAGAGAGAGAGAGAAAGAGACGGAUCAUUUCCACAGCGCCCCCUGCGGAGAGGAGGACAGCCGAGCAGUUCUAUCCUGUUUCCACUUGCUGUUUUUAUUUAACCCACUCCACUUAUUUAAACCAAGGGUGGCGUUUAUGGUCUUAACUGGCUCCCCUGGUUUUUGUGUUGUUUUUGAGAGAGUUGGAACAGAAGUGGACAAAUCAACAACAACAACAAGGAAUCCUUUUCACUCUUCAGGCUGGAAGCUAAUAGAAUACAACAAAAUA